rnacentral:tRNA from 1 species
GGGUUCUUAGCUCAGUUGGUAGAGCAGCGGACUCUUAAUCCGUAGGUCGACAGUUCGAAUCUGUCAGAACCCA